AAGCUCGUAGUUGAAUUUCGGGAUUGACGUAAUGGUCAUGCCUUAAGGGGUAUGAACUGUUACUGUUGAUUUCUCACCUUCUGGAGAAACUUGAUGUCCUUUAUUGGGUGUCUUGCGGAUCCAGGACCUUUACCUUGAAAAAAUUAGAGUGUUUAAAGCAGGCAUUUUUGCUCGAAUACAUUAGCAUGGAAUAAUAGAAUAGGACGGCAUGGUUCUAUUUUGUUGGUUUCUAGGAUCACCGUAAUGAUUAAUGGGAUAGUUGGG
rnacentral:rRNA from 1 species